GUGAAGAGAAAAAAAAAAAAGAGAAAGAGAAAGGAGGGCUCUCGGCGGAAGAAAAGAAAGGGGGAGGGAGAGCUCUUGGCUACGACUUUGGAAGGAAGAACGAGGCCAAAGGGACGCCCCACCGUUGCUCCUCAUCAUCACCUACACCAACACCAAGCCUCCAAGCAUGGCACCUCUUAAACCCUUUUCUUUCUACACCUUGAACCUGUAAAUGUAGUGAAUCCAUGAAGAAUGACUUUAUGCAGUUGGGUCAGUUUGUUCUUGGGGGGCAUUGUGUUGGCUGGAUUAAAGAGAAGAUCUUCUACAUUCUUCAUGUCUUUAUUAUCACUUGAAUUUUAUCAAAACUUCACCCGAUGUUACUAACAUCCAGAAUAUUCCUUGAGCAACUGAAUUACGACUCUACACUAGUCCAUGAUUACUUGGAAGGAUACUGGUUUGCUAUUAAAAAUCAAGUUUUUAAGAAGAGAAGCAAUUCAUGUAAUGGAAUUGGAAGACAAGGGAGAGCAAAGGGAAGAAAUUCAAGACAUGCAUACUAUUAACAAGAGGAUGGAGAAAGACAUUAUUAAAAGUAAAAUAAAAAUGAAACUCAUUAUCACAUAAGGUAGGCAGAGGGAAGAAAAGUUUAUCGAAGAAGGUAGAUAAAGAGAAGAAAAUCACAAGGAGAUGAUUGACAAAAUGAUUCAAGAGAUGGAACAUACAAAUCAUUUAUAUCUAGAAGGAAUUGGUCCUAGUGAGUAUUGUGAUAGAUAAUGUAAAAAUUAGAUUACUUGUGAUGAAAUUUAAAAUUGUAUACAUUUAUUUAUAGUUUCUUUAAUGGUUAAA